UACACAAGCCAAGCAAAAAAAAUAAAGACAAUUUUUGAGACGUCAUACAUGGUAACUACCAGUAUGUAAUAUGGUGUGUGUUAAAUCCAUUUUUAUUAAGGUCAUCAAAUAAAACAGUUUUCCCCUACGGGAUGAAGCACAAACAUUGCAUACAAAAUGGAAAACCGAUACGGUUAUGCGUGGUUUCUAACUCCCCCACCUCACCCCCCAAUCUCAUUGACAUACAUAGACAAGCUUAAACAUCAACACAUAUUUAGCACAGACAAACUGACACACACACAAACCUACUAUUGACAAGCUCAUUGUCACACACAUGCUCACUACAGACAAGCUCACUGACGCACACACAUGCUCUCUACAGAACAGCUCCCUGACACACACAUGCUCCCUACAGACAAGCUCACUGUCACACAUGCUUACGACAGGCAAGCUCAUUGUCACACACACAUACAAGCUCACACACCAGCAGAGACACAUACACACACAAGCUCACUCACUUGCAGGCAUACACAAGCUUACUCACUAGCAGGCACACACACACACACACACACACACACACAAAAUCACUGUCAAGGCUAAAGCUAACCUGGCACCGGUAGGUUAAUUUGUCAUUCUCUGGCCUCUUCUUUCCAGCGAGGUCAGCAGUCUGCCUGUGGGUGCAGCGCUUACUCACAGGAGGUAGGGCAUGUGUUCGGAAGGAGGUGCUUGAGUGUGGGGGUGGGCAGGCGGCACAGAAUUGCUUAGGAUUGUGCAGGGCGACUGUCAGGCACAGUCCGAGGGGAAAAUCAUUUAAAAUAAAUUAGCCUAAUUUAGGGUUGUCUGAUCAGCCCCAGGUGUCACGGCCCCCUUAGAAAUUUCACUGUAUCCCGGGGGGCAGUCCAGCCCUGCAUUUAUGUCCCUGAAGUCUAGGAGUACUCAGAGCGGUGGUGCUGGUAUUUGUCCCACCCCUCUGUCUAUGAGGGACGGGAUGAGAUAGUAUCAUGGUCCUCUGUCUAAGUGGCCCAUCUCAGGGAGUUAUCGAGUUGUAGUCAAGUGCCGCAGUUUCCAGGAUGGGUAUGUUGAGUUGGGAGAGGAUUGGUUGAGGAGGUAAGAAAGAAAGAGGGAGGUGAGAAGGAGGAAAGUGAGAAGAGGGAAAGGCAGAUGACAAGUGGUGGGAGGUGGAGUAUCACCCUUGUGUAAUAUUGUUUGGAUUAUGCUUUGUUUUUCAUUUUGGCUUUGUAUAAAGGUAGAAACACUAACAUUAUUAUUUACAAAAGGGAGAUUUUAAAGUGAAUAUGAAGGGAAUAUUUUAAAUUUAACACCAGACUGGCUGAACUGAAAGAACAACAAACAAACUUCAGCCAUUUUGAACUUCAAGUUGAAAUUAACUUUGAAUUCUCACUUUACUCAUUAACCCUGAAAAUCUGCUAUUCUGUGUGAAUCCUCUGAUGUCUAAAAUCCCUUAAAAUUACAAAUAUGUUCUUAACAAGAGAAUGAAUGCUUUGUGAAUCCGCAUAUGUUUCGUAAUCUUUGGCAUUUGAGCAAAUCAUUUCCCACAAUCAGAAGAUGAAAAGUAUUUCUAUAUUUUAUGAAUCCUCUGAGUUCUCCUAAGAUUUGAAGGGUCAGUACAACAUUUCCUACAUUCUGAACAUGAAAAAGGUUUUUCUCCUGUGUGAAACCUCAAAUGCUUCCUAAGAUCUGACAUUUGAGCAAAACGUUUCCCACAUUCAGAACAAGAAUUAAUUUUUUCUCCUGUGUGAAUCCUCUGAUGUUUUUUAAGAUGUGACGUUUGAGUGAAACAUUUCUCACAGUCUUAACAUGAGAAAGGUUUUUCUCCUGAGUGAAUCCUCUUAUGAUGCCUUAGAGAUGAAGGGUCAGUGAAACAUUUCCCACAUUCUGAACAUGAAAAUUGUUUCUCUCUGGUGUGAAUCCUCUGAUGUAUCUUAAAAUUUGUCUUUUGAGUGAAGCAUUUCCCACAUUCUGAACAUGAAAAUGGUUUCUCUCCUGUGUGAAUUUUCUGAUGACGCUUAAGAGUUGAAGGGUCAGUAAAACAUUUCCCACAUUCUGAACAUGAAAAUGGUUUCUCUCCGGUGUGAAUCCUCUGAUGUAUCUUAAAAUUAGUUUUUUGAGUGAAGCAUUUCCCACAUUCACGACAAGAAAAUGUGUUUUCUCCAGAGUGAGUCCUCUGAUGUAUCUUAAGACUUGACAUGCUUUUGAAGCAUUUCCCACAGGCAGAACAGGAAAAUGGUUUCUCUCCUGUGUGAAUCAUCAUGUGUCUCUUAAGCUCUGACCUUCGAGCGAAGCAUUUCUCACAUUCAGAACAAGAAAUUGGUUUUUCUCCUGUGUGAAUCCUCUGAUGUGAUUUAAGAUUUGACACUUGGGUGAAACAUUUCUCACAUUCUGAACAUGAAAAUGGUUUCUCUCCUGUGUGAAUCCUCAUAUGUUUCUUGAGAUCCGAUGUUCGAGCAAAAUAUUUCCCACAUUCAGAACAAGACAUUAUCUUCUCUCCUUUGGGGGCUCUCUUAUGUCUGAUAAAAUAGGAGUUCUGAUUAAAACACUUACGUCCAAUGUAAUCGGCACUGGUCAAUUUGUUUCCUUUGUGGACACUCUGAUCCAUCUCUGAAUUGGUGGACAAAACUUUAGCACCAUCAUAGCAGCUACUAUUCUCUUUGUUUUGUAUUCCAG